GCCAUGAGGGCGGGAACCCUCGUACGCGGAAGUUCAUGAGGGCGGGACCCUCGUACGCGGAAGGUCAUGAGGGCGGGACCCUCGUACGCGGAAGUUCAUGCGGGCGGGACCCUCGUACGUGGAAGGUCAUGAGGGCGGGACCCUCGUACGUGGAAGGUCAUGAGGGCGGAACCCUGGUACAUGAAAUUCGUUCUCUUAUUUAAGAGACAAAGAACGCCCUUGUUUUUUCCACCACGUGAUGGCGCAGACAGAAGACAACCAGCAUCUAUGAACCAGGAAGCCCCCACCAGGCACUGAAUCUGCCCCUGCGUGGAUCUUAGACUUGCAGACUCCAGAACUAACCUUACAAUGUCUCUUCUCCAUUAAGAAAACCUACUUCAACAUCUCCAUUGGUUCUCAACAUAGAGAUUCUCUUAAUUUAAAGGAUCCAACGCAAUGACCAAUCUCCAAUUGUCAAAUAUUGAGUGAGGAAAAUAAUCAUAUUUCAUCACAGUAUUUAAGUAAGGAUCAAAGACUCUAAGAUAACUGAAAGCACUAAAUUAAUUUUCUUCACCAAGAUCACAGGAAAAACAGAAACUACAAGGAGAAAUGGAAAAAGCUGGACCUUCCCUAUGGACAUGGGGAAAAGUGGCUAUCUGGAAGUCAAGGGAAAAGAGAGAUUUUUCUUUAUAAAAUAAAAGAAAUGCCUGAACCACCAAACUGGACCACAAGCUUGAUCCAAGGAUGGUGCCUGACCCUGCACAAGGAACUCUCAGGAAAGGAACACUUCAAUGAGGGUGAUAAGGAAACUGUGUAGUUUUAAGGGAGGCCUGAGCCCUGACUCAUCAGUUUGCUUCUAAGUGUUCUCUCAGCCCAUCACCAACUCAGCUUCUGACCUAAUCAACCCCCCACCCCGUGAGCCCAGCUCCUACUUUCAACCCCAACCCCAGACUGAAACCUUAGCACCUACUUUAGCUAACACCUCUAGCUCCAAACACCCUACAUCCUAUUCCAGUCUAACCUCAUCAUCAAACAUUACCUGUAUUCAAACUCCAUAUCUUUUUUUCAAAGAAGUGCAUUCAAAACCAUAUAUACACAUACAUCUUUGCUUUUACUGUAAACAAGGCAAUCGUAAAGCCAUAUGCUUUUACAUUAUAAAGUAACCUUUCGCAGGUUUCUGAUUUUCUAAAAAACAAGUUUUGUUGAAGUUUCUGAAGUAUU
rnacentral:lncRNA from 1 species